GCUGGGUGUGGUGGCUCACACCUGUAAUCCUAGCACUCUGGGAGGCCGAGGCGGGAGGAUUGCCUGAGGUCAGGAGUUUCAGACCAGCCUGGCCAACAUGGUAAAACCCUGUCUCUA
ensembl:misc_RNA Metazoa_SRP Metazoan signal recognition particle RNA